GGUCUCACGGGUCCCCACCCUGUGCUCAGAGAGAGACAGCAGAUGACAGCUUUGGUCCCAGCUGCAUCUCCGUAGUUGUCCCCACCCUGUUUCUCCAGGCUGCCCCGCAGCGUUUUACGGGAAGGACUGUGGGCGUGUGUGCCAGUGUCAGAAUGGCGCCAGCUGUGACCACAUCAGUGGCAAGUGCACCUGCCGCACGGGCUUCACCGGGCGACACUGCGAGCAGAGAUGUGCCCCAGGAACCUUUGGCUACGGGUGUCAGCAGCUAUGUGAGUGCAUGAACAACGCCACCUGUGACCACGUCACCGGCACCUGUUAUUGCAGCUCUGGAUUCAAAGGAAUACGGUGUGACCAAGCUGCCCUCAUGAUGGAGGAGCUGAAUCCCUACACCAAGAUCAGCCCGGCGCUGGGUGCAGAGCGGCACUCGGUGGGUGCGGUCACAG